rnacentral:piRNA from 1 species
UUGCAAAGUGGGAAUUGAAAG